rnacentral:rRNA from 1 species
GAUCCUGGCUCAGGACGAACGCUGGCGGCGUGCUUAACACAUGCAAGUCGAACGAUGAUGCUCCAGCUUUGUUGGGGUGGAUUAGUGGCGAACGGGUGAGUAACACGUGAGUAACCUGCCCUCUUCUUUGGGAUAACGGUCGGAAACGGCUGCUAAUACUGGAUAUUCACUCAUUGGCGCAUGUUGGUGGGUGGAAAGGUUUUUCUGGUGGGGGAUGGGCUCGCGGCCUAUCAGCUUGUUGGUGGGGUGAUGGCCUACCAAGGCUUUGACGGGUAACCGGCCUGAGAGGGUGACCGGUCACAUUGGGACUGAGAUACGGCCCAGACUCCUACGGGAGGCAGCAGUGGGGAAUUUUGCACAAUGGGCGCAAGCCUGAUGCAGCGACGCCGCGUGAGGGAUGAAGGCCUUCGGGUUGUAAACCUUUUUCGCUCAUGGUCAAGCCGCAGCUUUGGGUUGUGGUGAGGGUAGUGGGUAAAGAAGCGCCGGCUAACUACGUGCCAGCAGCCGCG